AAAUAUAAUUAAAAAGAAAAAUUGGAAGUAAGAAAGAAAAGGGAAAAGGAUGCUGCGCCGGAAGCCGCGGCGAGGAUUCCUUAUGAUGCUUGUGCGCGUCCCCGAGGCCCAUCGGUCCUUCAUCCAAGAACCGAUAAACGCGGUGACCGGCGCCUUCACGGCAUUUAUGAUUAAUUUUAUAAUCCAGUCUGGUAGUUUUAAGAAGCGAGUUCUUGCAUCUGCCCUAUUCGAAUCGGCGGGGUGGUGGAGCGCCAGCGAGCCCAAGGUCUCCCAGGCGAGCAUGGCAGGACUGGAGGGCUCCCGGCAGGGCGCCUCGGCGUCCAUCGGGACCCCGACGGAGGUGCCGGAGAUCUUUCGGUUACAACGCCGGGCAGGUGGGGCUCGUUAGCCGUGGUAGGCAAUCUGCCUAGGAGAGCAAACUCCGAACAACAAACCCGGGCAGGUGAGGUUCGUUAGCCGUGGUAGGCAAUUCACCUAGGAGAGCAAACUCCGAACAAUAAACCCGGGCAGGUGAGGUUCGUUAGCCGUGGUAGGCAAUUCACCUAGGAGAGCAAACUCCGAACAAUAAACCCGGGCAGGUGAGGUUCGUUAGCCGUGGUAGGCAAUUCACCUAGGAGAGCAAACUCCGAACAAUAAACCCGGGCAGGUUGGGCUCGUGAGCCGUCAUAGGUAAUACACCUAGGAGAGCAAACUCCGAUCAUAAAACCCGGGCAGGUUGGGCUCGUGAGCCGUCAUAGGUAAUACACCUAGGAGAGCAAACUCCGAUCAUAAAACCCGGGCAGGUGGAGCUCGUCAGCCGUGGUGGGCAAUCUGCCUAGGAGAGCAAACUCCGAACAAUAAACCCGGGCAGGUGGAGCUCGUCAGCCGUGGUAGGCAAUCUGCCUAGGAGAGCAAACUCCGAACAAUAAACCCGGGCAGGUGGAGCUCGUCAGCCGUGGUAGGCAGUCUGCCUAGGAGAGCAAACUCCGAACAAUAAACCGGGGCUUGUGGUGCUCGUUAGAUGUCGUAGACAAUCCACGUGAUGGGAACACCAAAGAAAAGGAAAAUAAAAAGGAAAACCAGAAAAAGGAAAAUAUAGUAACAAAACAUCAAGAAAAUAAAAUAAAAAACAC